GACGUUGGAAAUUUAUUUUCAGUGUCGCAGGGAAACCGAUAAACACACCGCCUGGGGAGUACGACCGCAAGGUUAAAACUCAAAUGAAUUGACGGGGACCCGCACAAGUAGUGGAGCAUGUGGUUUAAUUCGAAGAUACACGCAGAACCUUACCAACACUUGACAUGUUCGUCGCGACUCUAAGAGAUUAGAGUUUUCGGUUCGGCCGGACGAAACACAGGUGCUGCAUGGCUGUCGUCAGCUCGUGUCGUGAGAUGUUGGGUUAAGUCCCGCAACGAGCGCAACCCUCACUUUUAGUUGCCAUCAUUAAGUUGGGCACUCUGAAAGAACUGCCAGUGAUAAGCUGGAGGAAGGUGGGGAUGACGCCAAGUCCUCAUGGCCCUUACGUGUUGGGCUACACACGUGCUACAAUGGUAUCUACAACAGGAAGCAAAACUGCGAAGUUAAGCAAAUCCCUAAAAGAUACCUCAGUUCGGAUUGCACUCUGCAACUCGAGUGCAUGAAGCUGGAAUUACUAGUAAUCGUGGAUCAGCGUGCCACGGUGAAUGCGUUCCCGGGUCUUGUACACACCGCCCGUCACACCAUGGGAGUUGGUUCUACCUUAAGGCAAGGUUUAAAACCCUUGACCACGGUAUAGUCAGCGACUGGGGUGAAGUCGUAACAAGGUAGCCGUA
rnacentral:rRNA from 1 species